GACGAACGCUGGCGGCGUGCUUAACACAUGCAAGUCGAACGAAGUGGCGAACGGGUGAGUAAUACGUGGGUAACCUGCCCUCCUUUUUGGGAUAAGCCUUGGAAACGGGGUCUAAUACCGAAUAAAGGGGGAUGGGCUCGCGGCCUAUCAGCUGGUUGGUGGGGUGAUGGCCUACCAAGGCGGUGACGGGUAGCCGGCCUGAGAGGGCGACCGGCAACUUUGGGACUGAGAUACGGCCCAGACGACGAAGGGAGGGAGAAGUGGGGGAUAUUGGACAAUGGGCGAAAGACUGAUGCAGCGUCGCUGCGUGGGGGAUGAAGGCUUUAGGGUUGUAACCCUCUUUCGCUAUCGAAUCGGUAGGUGGAGAAGAAGCGCCGGCUAACUACGUGCCAGCAGCCGCGGUAAUAC
rnacentral:rRNA from 1 species